UCAGACGGCCAUAGGGGAUGGGAUCCACCCAGAUCCAUUCGAACCUGGAAGUUAAACCAUCUUCCGUACCUGCCUGUACUUCGUUUCGAGGGAACGCAGGUAAGCUGUCAACC
rnacentral:rRNA from 1 species